GACGAACGCUGGCGGCGUGCCUAAUACAUGCAAGUCGAACGAGAGCGACCGGUGCUUGCACUGGUCAAUCUAGUGGCGAACGGGUGAGUAACACGUGGGUAACCUGCUCAUCAGAGGGGGAUAACAUCCGGAAACGGAUGCUAAAACCGCAUAGGUCUUCGAGCCGCAUGGCUUGAAGAGGAAAAGAGGCGCAAGCUUCUGCUGAUGGAUGGACCCGCGGUGCAUUAGCUAGUUGGUGAGGUAACGGCUCACCAAGGCCGUGAUGCAUAGCCGACCUGAGAGGGUGAUCGGCCACAUUGGGACUGAGACACGGCCCAAACUCCUACGGGAGGCAGCAGUAGGGAAUCUUCCGCAAUGGACGCAAGUCUGACGGAGCAACGCCGCGUGAGUGAAGAAGGUUUUCGGAUCGUAAAACUCUGUUGUUAGAGAAGAACAAGUGCUAGAGUAACUGUUAGCGCCUUGACGGUAGCUAACCAGAAAGCCACGGCUAACUACGUG
rnacentral:rRNA from 1 species